rnacentral:tRNA from 1 species
GGCACCUUAGCUCAGCUGCUGGAGCAUGCGCUUUAUAAAAGCGUAGGCGGCGUUCAUGUGUGGGUUCGAAUCCCACCGAGGCUA